AUCUAUGGCCAUACCACCUUGAACACGCGAGAUCUCAUCUGAUCUCAGAUGCUAACCAGGGUCGGGCCUGGAUAGUACUUUGAUGGGAGACCGGCUGGGAAUACCGGGUGCUGUAGGGU
ensembl:rRNA 5S_rRNA 5S ribosomal RNA